rnacentral:rRNA from 1 species
GGACUACACGGGUAUCUAAUCCUGUUCGCUCCCCACGCUUUCGCGCCUCAGCGUCAGUAUGAUGCCAGGUGGCUGCCUUCGCCAUCGACGUUCCUUCCGAUCUCUACGCAUUUCACCGCUACACCGGAAAUUCCGCCACCCUCUCAUCUACUCCAGUACCAUCGUUUGCGAUGCACUUCCCAGGUUAAGCCCGGGGCUUUCACAUCACACUCAUGCCACCGCCUACGCGCCCUUUACGCCCAGUUACUCCGAUUAACGCUUGCACCCUCUGUAUUACCGCGGCUGCUGGCAC